AGCAGCCGCGGUAAUUCCAGCUCCAAUAGCGUAUAUUAAAGUUGUUGCAGUUAAAAAGCUCGUAGUUGAAUUUUGGAUUCUUCCAAUUGGUCCAUCUUUUAGAUGAGUACUGGUUGUGUGGGGUCUAUCCGCCUGGUGAUACGUAAUGUCCUUUAUUGGAUGUUGCGGGUAGUCAGGACCUUUACCUUGAAAAAAUUAGAGCGUUUAAAGCAGGCUUAUGCCGGAAUACAUUAGCAUGGAAUAAUAGAAUAGGACGAAGUUGUUUUAUUUUGUUGGUUUCUAGGACAACCGUAAUGAUUAAUAGGGAUAGUUGGGGGCAUUAGUAUUCAAUUGUCAGAGGUGAAAUUCUUGGAUUUAUUGAAGACUAACUACUGCGAAAGCAUUUGCCAAGGAUGUUUUUCAUUAAUCAAGAACGAAAGUUAGGGGAUCGAAGACGAUCAGAUACCGUCGUAGUCUUAACCAUAAACUAUGCCGACUAGGGAUCGGGCGAUGUUGUUUCCAUGACUCGCUCGGCACCUUA
rnacentral:rRNA from 1 species